GAUGAGUUGUGAAAUGUUUGUUGAACUGGGUUAGUUGACUAAGGAAGAAGAGGCAACCAGGGCCCCACUCACUAAGGGAGGUGCCUCCCCAAACGUGCUGUCUGAAACCCCUCUUAAGGGCGGUCUUCUGUGUCAGGACCAGCCACCCAAAGUGGGGAAUGUCUUGAAAUGUCAACUUUUACCUGAACAAUUUGAAGCUGGCACACCGGACCAAGGUGAUGAUCAACGGGGGAGAAGACUGGAAAUCUGGUGUGGAUGAGGUGGUAGAAGACCUCUUAGGCACCCCACUUGAAGCCACUGGUCUAGCCCAGCUUUCCAGAGUACUCCUUUGGGGUUUGGUGUCCAUGUCAGCUGGACAAUAAAAUAUUAACUAAU